rnacentral:rRNA from 1 species
AGAAUCAACGCUGGCGGCGUGCCUAACACAUGCAAGUCGCACGAGAAAGUGGAGCAAUCCAUAAGUAAAGUGGCGCACGGGUGAGUAACACGUGAAUUAUCUACCUCCGAGUGGGGAAUAACUGAGAGAAAUCUUAGCUAAUACCGCAUAACACUUACGAGUCAAAGCAGCAAUGCGCUUGGAGAGGAGUUCGCGGCCGAUUAGUUAGUUGGCGGGGUAAUGGCCCACCAAGACGAUGAUCGGUA